rnacentral:pre_miRNA from 1 species
AUUGUACUCCCUCCGUCCGAAAAUACUUGUCAUCAAAAUGGAUAAAAAGAGAUGUAUCUAGAACUAAAAUAUGUCUAGAUACAUCCCCUUUUAUCCAUUUUGAUGACAAGUAUUUUCAGACGGAGGGAGUACAAA